rnacentral:rRNA from 1 species
UACGUAGGGGGCAAGCGUUGUCCGGAAUUAUUGGGCGUAAAGAGUACGUAGGCGGUCUGUUAAGCGCAAGGUGAAAGGCAUAGGCUCAACCAAUGUGAGCCUUGCGAACUGUCAGACUUGAGUGCAGGAGAGGAAAGCGGAAUUCCUAGUGUAGCGGUGAAAUGCGUAGAUAUUAGGAGGAACACCGGUGGCGAAGGCGGCUUUCUGGACUGAAACUGACGCUGAGGUACGAAAGCGUGGGGAGCAAACAGG